CAACUACUAGUAGGGACAGGGGAAGAUAACCGAGGUGUUCCGAGUGAGGAUCAUGACGAGGAUCAUAGACUGUACAGACGUAUACGUACCUGCUAAUGGUUUAGCGGAGCAGUUUCAGGAAGGGAUUGUCAUCACUGCCUGUAUGAUUGGAGGAUACCACAGAGCUGUGGUGAAUUACACAUGACGUUCUUGGAUAGUGACGCUUGCUGCGAGGACAUGGAUUCCAAAAGUUCGUGUGAGGUCAAUACAGCGAAAGAGCCUUCUCAUGUGGAAAAAAUUGGGAGAACAGGAGGGAAAAUGAUUUCGUUCAAGGUACAUGUGUCAACUAAAAGGUUUCCGUUGAUGGUAUCUACAAAGAAAGUAGUGAUUGACACAAAGGUAAGUUAAUUUUU